rnacentral:rRNA from 1 species
AACGUAGGAGACAAACGUUAUCCGGAAUUACUGGGCGUAAAGGGUGCGUAGGUGGUUUCUUAAGUCAGAGGUGAAAGGCUACGGCUCAACCGUAGUAAGCCUUUGAAACUGAGAAACUUGAGUGCAGGAGAGGAGAGUAGAAUUCCUAGUGUAGCGGUGAAAUGCGUAGAUAUUAGGAGGAAUACCAGUUGCGAAGGCGGCUCUCUGGACUGUAACUGACACUGAGGCACGAAAAGCGUGGGGAGCAAACAGGG